UUUUUUGUACACUUCAACAGAAAAAAAUGAUUUAUAACUUUUACUUUUAGAAUCAAAGUUAGAAAUAUCCUUUAAAGUUCAUCUAGACCUGCUCAGUGUUCUAAAGCAGUGAAAAGAUGGUCUUUAAAAUGAAGAUCUGUACCAGUGGCAAUAGCCUGUUUCCUCCCAAAAUCUUUCAGCAUAAGACUGUAAAGAGCAUUAGUAGAAAGAAAAAUACCCAAUACUCGCUGAUGUAAUCUUCAUCUUCAUGUGAAGAGCACAAACAUGACUUAGUGUUGCCACAAGAGUGUUCCCAUCAUGUCUCUCAAGGGAUGAUAAAGUCAUUGAAAGGCCUUGUUCCUGCUCCUGCUCGAAGCAUGAGAAGAAAGCAAACAGCAAUUUACCAUUCUUCUUGUUUUUCUAUCUAUUAAAAGAAUAUCUCUGGCUUAAAAUUAAGAAUUGAUAUCUGGGAGAAAAAACAAUGAAUGAACGAGGAAGACAAUUACCUAA